rnacentral:rRNA from 1 species
GUGUCAGCCGCCGCGGUAAUACGUAGGGUGCGAGCGUUGUCCGGAAUUAUUGGGCGUAAAGGGCUCGUAGGCGGUUUGUCGCGUCGGGAGUGAAAACCUUGGGCUUAACUCAGGGCUUGCUUUCGAUACGGGCAGACUAGAGGUAUGCAGGGGAGAACGGAAUUCCUGGUGUAGCGGUGAAAUGCGCAGAUAUCAGGAGGAACACCGGUGGCGAAGGCGGUUCUCUGGGCAUGAUCUGACGCUGAGGAGCGAAAGUGUGGGGAGCGAACAGGAUUAGAUACCCCCGUAGUCC